ensembl:lncRNA ATPase phospholipid transporting 9B (putative)
GUAAAGUGCAAGUUAAGAGUUCAGACAUACAAGUUGGAGACCUCAUCAUAGUGGAAAAGAAUCAACGAAUCCCAUCUGACAUGGUGUUUCUCAGAACAUCGGAAAAAACUGGUUCGUGUUUUAUUCGAACUGACCAGCUCGAUGGAGAAACAGACUGGAAACUAAAGGUUGCUGUCAGCUGUACACAAAGGUUGCCAGCUUUGGGGGAUCUUUUUUCAAUCAAUGCUUACGUUUAUGCUCAGAAGCCACAGCUGGAUAUUCACAGUUUUGAGGGUACCUUCACACGGGAAGACAGUGAUCCAGCAGUUCAUGAAAGCCUUAGCAUAGAAAAUACGUUAUGGGCAAGCACUGUUGUGGCUUCAGGAACUGUAAUUGGUGUUGUCAUUUACACAGGGAAGGAGACUCGAAGUGUAAUGAACACAUCCAAUCCAAAAAACAAGGUUGGCUUGCUGGAUCUGGAACUGAAUCAACUGACCAAAGCCCUAUUUUUGGCUUUAGUUGCACUAUCAAUUGUUAUGGUAACCUUGCAAGGAUUUGUAGGCCCCUGGUAUCGCAACCUUUUCCGGUUCCUCCUCCUGUUUUCCUAUAUCAUCCCUAUCAGUUUACGUGUGAACUUGGACAUGGGUAAGGCAGCCUAUGGGUGGAUGAUUAUGAAAGAUGACAAUAUUCCUGGAACAGUUGUUCGAACUAGCACCAUACCAGAAGAGUUGGGACGAUUAGUUUAUUUACUAACGGAUAAAACAGGAACACUUACACAGAAUGAGAUGAUAUUUAAGCGCCUCCACCUAGGUACUGUGUCCUAUGGAACAGACACAAUGGAUGAAAUUCAGAGUCAUAUUAUAAACUCUUAUUCACAGUCUUCUGCGCCUAAAGUCCGCAAGAGUGUCAGUAGUCGAAUACAUGAAGCUGUGAAGGCUAUUGCAUUGUGCCACAAUGUGACCCCAGUGUACGAAUCUCGUGCGGGUGUGUCUGGAGAAACAGAAUAUGCAGAAGUGGAUCAAGAUUUCAGCGAUGAAAAUAGAACUUACCAGGCUUCCAGCCCUGAUGAGGUAGCUCUGGUACAAUGGACAGAGAGUGUUGGUCUUACGCUGGUUAACAGAGAUUUGACCUCAAUGCAACUGAAGACCCCUGGUGGACACAUUCUGACAUACUAUAUUCUGCAAAUUUUCCCCUUCACUUCUGAGAGCAAGCGCAUGGGGAUCAUAGUUAGGGAUGAAUCUUCGGGAGAAAUUACAUUUUACAUGAAAGGUGCAGAUGUUGCAAUGUCCACUAUUGUACAGUACAAUGAUUGGUUAGAAGAAGAGUGUGGUAAUAUGGCACGAGAAGGACUGCGUACUCUGGUUGUUGCCAAAAAAUCACUGACUGAAGAACAGUAUCAAGAUUUUGAGAGUCGAUACAACCAAGCAAAGUUAAGUAUACAUGACAGAACCCUGAAGGUUGCUGCUGUUGUGGAGAGUUUGGAGCGAGAAAUGGAGUUGCUGUGUCUCACUGGAGUAGAAGAUCAACUGCAAGCAGAUGUUAGACCAACUCUAGAGAUGUUAAGAAAUGCUGGAAUAAAGAUAUGGAUGUUAACAGGAGAUAAACUGGAGACAGCAACUUGCAUUGCGAAAAGUUCUCACUUAGUAUCUAGGACUCAAGAUAUUCAUAUUUUCAGACCUGUUACCACUCGAGGAGAGGCUCACUUAGAACUAAAUGCCUUUAGAAGGAAGCAUGAUUGUGCCUUGGUAAUAUCUGGGGACUCACUUGAGGUUUGUCUGAAGUACUAUGAACAUGAAUUUGUUGAGUUGGCCUGUCAGUGCCCUGCUGUAGUGUGCUGCCGCUGUUCUCCCACCCAAAAAGCCCAUAUCGUGAAACUGCUACAACACCACACUGGAAAGCGCACGUGUGCAAUAGGUGAUGGAGGAAACGAUGUCAGCAUGAUCCAAGCAGCCGACUGUGGAAUUGGAAUUGAAGGCAAGGCUGUAUUUUCAUCAGUCUUCUAUUUUGCAUCUGUUCCCUUAUACCAAGGAUUCCUAAUGGUAGGGUAUGCAACUAUAUAUACUAUGUUUCCAGUCUUCUCUCUAGUAUUGGAUCAGGAUGUGAAACCAGAAAUGGCAUUGCUAUAUCCAGAACUUUAUAAGGAUCUCACAAAGGGAAGAUCUUUGUCGUUUAAGACCUUCCUCAUCUGGGUUUUAAUCAGUAUUUACCAAGGUGGUAUUCUGAUGUAUGGAGCCCUGCUGCUUUUUGAAUCCGAGUUUGUACACGUUGUUGCCAUUUCCUUCACUGCCCUAAUCUUGACGGAGCUCUUGAUGGUUGCGCUGACCAUACGAACAUGGCACUGGUUAAUGGUGGUGGCUGAAUUCCUCAGUCUUGGCUGCUAUGUGGCCUCUCUUGCAUUUCUAAAUGAAUACUUUGAUGUUGCCUUUAUCACAACUGUGACCUUCCUGUGGAAAGUGUCAGCAAUCACUGUUGUAAGCUGUCUUCCACUUUACAUUCUCAAGUACUUGAAACGCAAAUUUUCUCCUCCGAGUUACUCCAAGCUUACCUCGUAAAAGUGAACAUAUUCCUAUGGUAUUUCACACAUGCCAGUCUGCAUAUUGCACAUUCACUGUGCUUUUGUGUCUAUAGAUUUGUGAUGGACUAACAAAAUAAAAGUCAAAAGUAAUAGAGUGAGUGGAGCA